rnacentral:lncRNA from 1 species
CAACGUGAAGAGGCACGAUUCCUAGCCGGCUCCUCAUGGUAUCGCACGCUUCCCUUGCCGGUGUCGUGUUGCCUUUGCAGCUGGAGAAGCACAUACCUCCUCGUCAGCGUCGUCGCCCCUGAGCAGCGGGAGCAGCAGACAACUCCCCCGCUAAAUCCUCCUCUUUGCCCCCACCGACAGCAACAACAACAGAAGGAGAAGAGAAACGAUCCAUCUACGCUCACCGGCAAGGAGGCGGCAGGAGCAGCGGGCAAGGACAGCGGCACCAGUGGCUCACGAGAAGCGGGCGAUGGAGACCUUGGUGAGGAGCACGAGGGAGGAGGGGAGCGGCCCCGGCACCGGCAGCGACGGGAAGUGUGCGCGCGGAGGCGGCGCCGCAGUGGGCGGAGGACGGCGUCGAGGAGGCGCAGCGAGAUCACCCCUGACGCCCCCUUGACCUCACCGACAACCCCGCAAAAAUAG